UACGGAGGGUGCAAGCGUUGUCCGGAAUCACUGGGCGUAAAGGGCGCGUAGGCGGCUCAUGAAGGCUGUGGUGAAAGUCCGGGGCUCAACCUCGGAUCGGCCGUGGCGACUCGUGGGCUGGAGCACUGUAGAGGCGGGUGGAAUUCCGGGUGUAGCGGUGGAAUGCGUAGAGAUCCGGAAGAACACCGGUGGCGAAGGCGACUUUCUGGUCUGUAACUGACACUGAGGCGCGAAAGCGUGGGGAGCAAACAGG
rnacentral:rRNA from 1 species